rnacentral:rRNA from 1 species
UUUUAUGGAGAGUUUGAUCCUGGCUCAGGAUGAACGCUGGCGGCGUGCCUAAUACAUGCAAGUCGAGCGAACGGACGAGAAGCUUGCUUCUCUGAUGUUAGCGGCGGACGGGUGAGUAACACGUGGAUAACCUACCUAUAAGACUGGGAUAACUUCGGGAAACCGGAGCUAAUACCGGAUAAUAUUUUGAACCGCAUGGUUCAAAAGUGAAAGACGGUCUUGCUGUCACUUAUAGAUGGAUCCGCGCUGCAUUAGCUAGUUGGUAAGGUAACGGCUUACCAAGGCAACGAUGCAUAGCCGACCUGAGAGGGUGAUCGGCCACACUGGAACUGAGACACGGUCCAGACUCCUACGGGAGGCAGCAGUAGGGAAUCUUCCGCAAUGGGCGAAAGCCUGACGGAGCAACGCCGCGUGAGUGAUGAAGGUCUUCGGAUCGUAAAACUCUGUUAU